ACCGAGUCACCGUCUCUGUCUCUCAGCCGCCACCGCCAGAAACCGAGCACCGGCCGCCGGCCAGCCUCCACCAUCAGCCGCCACCACCAGCCGCCACCACCAGAAACCGAGCGCCGGCCAGCCGGUCUCCAAUCCUGCAAUCCCUCCAAUAUCCAAUAGGGGAUGAGGUGCAGCGAGCAAGUCCAAUAACCUACAGUGCUUGGAAUUUGUGGAAGGAGAGAUGCUGGCGAAUCUUUGAUAACAGAGCACCUGCCAGGCUCCAAUCCUGCGUCAGCGUCCCUGGCUCCGUGCCGGCUGCCGGUCUCCAAGAAUCAUGCGUCAGCGUCCCUCCAAUCCGAGGAGCGUCCCUUCAUUAUCCUUGCUGUUUUUGUUCUUUGCUGCCCAACAGUCCAAGUUUAUGUCCAAGACUGAAGACUCUAAGAGACAUUUGUUGUUUUGUUUAAUUAUACCCGCGGGUGUCCGAUACCCGCCCGAUACCCGAUGGGUACGGGCACGGGUACAAAAUCCUACCCGCGGGUAUAGACGCGGGCGGGUAUGAGUAACACCCCGCGGGUAUUAUUGCGGGCGGAUAUUUACCAUACCCGAUCCGAACCCGACCCAUUGCCAUCCCUAC